rnacentral:rRNA from 1 species
UCAAAUCAUCAUGCCCCUUAUGAUUUGGGCUACACACGUGCUACAAUGGACAAUACAAAGGGCAGCGAAACCGCGAGGUCAAGCAAAUCCCAUAAAGUUGUUCUCAGUUCGGAUUGUAGUCUGCAACUCGACUACAUGAAGCUGGAAUCGCUAGUAAUCGUAGAUCAGCAUGCUACGGUGAAUACGUUCCCGGGUCUUGUACACACCGCCCGUCACACCACGAGAGUUUGUAACACCCGAAGCCGGUGGAGUAACCUUUUAGGAGCUAGCCGUCGAAGGUGGGACAAAUGAUUGGGGUGAAGUCGUAACAAGGUAGCCGUAUCGGAAGGUGCGGCUGGAUCACCUCCUUU